ACGGGGCCUGCACAAGCGGUGGAGCAUGUGGUUUAAUUCGAAGCGACGCGCAGAACCUUACCAGCCUUUGACAUCCUAGGACGACUUCUGGAGACAGAUUUCUCCUUCGGGACCUAGUGACAGGUGCUGCAUGGCUGUCGUCAGCUCGUGUCGUGAGAUGUUGGGUUAAGUCCCGCAACGAGCGCAACCCUUGUCAUUAGUUGCCAUCAUUUAGUUGGGCACUCUAAUGAGACUGCCGGUGACAAACCGGAGGAAGGUGGGGAUGACGUCAAGUCCUCAUGGCCCUUAUGGGUAGGGCUUCACACGUCAUACAAUGGUCGGUACAGAGGGUUGCCAAGCCGCGAGGUGGAGCCAAUCCCUUAAAGCCGAUCGUAGUCCGGAUCGUAGUCUGCAACUCGACUACGUGAAGUCGGAAUCGCUAGUAAUCGCAGAUCAGCAUGCUGCGGUGUAUACGUUCCCGGGUCUU
rnacentral:rRNA from 1 species